GGCCGCGGGAAUUCGAUUCAGGCCUAACACAUGCAAGUCGAACGAUGAAGCUGGAGCUUGCUCCGGUGGAUUAGUGGCGAACGGGUGAGUAACACGUGAGAAAUCUGCCCUUGACUCUGGGAUAACUGCGGGAAACUGUAGCUAAUACCGGAUACUUUCCUUGGUGGGCAUCCACUGGGGAAGAAAGAAUUUCGGUCAAGGAUGAUCUCGCGGCCUAUCAGCUAGUUGGUGAGGUAAUGGCUCACCAAGGCGACGACGGGUAGCCGGCCUGAGAGGGUGACCGGCCACACUGGGACUGAGACACGGCCCAGACUCCUACGGGAGGCAGCAGUGGGGAAUAUUGCACAAUGAAGGCAAGCCUGAUGCAGCAACGCCGCGUGAGGGA
rnacentral:rRNA from 1 species